rnacentral:misc_RNA from 1 species
CGUAGGUGAACCUGCGGAAGGAUCAUUAAUGAGUUGUCAUGGGGUUCGAUGCUGGCAGCCAAUUUUUGGAUGCAUGUGCUUGCCCUAACAAUCAUCUUCCAAACACCUGUGCACAUUUUUGAGGGAGUCUUGAGUUGGUUGCCGCUCUUGGGUGAUUUUCUCACAUUCCCUUAAAUCAUUAUACGCUAUUAACAAUGUUGAACGUGCUCUGUGCCGCAAGGCUAUUAAUAUAAUACAACUUUUAACAACGGAUCUCUUGGCUCUCGCAUCGAUGAAGAACACAGC